GAUGAAGAACGUAGCGAAAUGCGAUAAGUAAUGUGAAUUGCAGAAUUCAGUGAAUCAUCGAAUCUUUGAACGCACAUUGCGCCCGCCAGUAUUCUGGCGGGCAUGCCUGUUCGAGCGUCAUUUCAACCCUCAAGCCCAGCUUGGUGUUGGGGAUCGGCACAGGCGCCCUCGGGCGCCCGCCGUCCCCUAAAUCUAGUGGCGGUCUCGCUGCAGCCUCCUCUGCGUAGUAGUUUUCUCCUCGCAAGGGCAGCUCGGUGGCGACCUCGCCGUAAAACCCCCAACUACUGAAAGGUUGACCUCGAAUCUGGUAGGAAUACCCGCUGAACUUAAGCAUAUCAAUAAGCGGAGGA
rnacentral:misc_RNA from 1 species